AAUAAGAUAGGAUAAUAAGUCUGUCAGGUUCAUACCCUGGGGGUGGUUUCUCUUAUUA
rnacentral:tRNA from 1 species